rnacentral:sRNA from 1 species
AGGGUGUCCAGUGGCUGCUUUGCAAGGGUCUUGGGACUCAGAGUUAAGUGAACUUCCCUUCUCCAUUCUCCUAGGUACUGGACAGCCUGCUGGCUCAGUAUGGUACAGUAGAGAACUGUGAGCAAGUGAACACCGAGAGUGAGACGGCAGUGGUGAAUGUCACCUAUUCCAACCGGGACCAGACCAGGCAAGCCAUCAUGAAGCUGAAUGGCCACCAGUUGGAGAACCAUGCCCUGAAGGUCUCCUACAUCCCCGAUGAGCAGAUAGCACAGGGACCUGAGAAUGGGCGCCGAGGGGGCUUUGGUUCUCGGGGUCAGCCCCGCCAGGGCUCACCUGUGGCAGCGGGGGCCCCAGCCAAGCAGCAGCAAGUGGACAUCCCCCUUCGGCUCCUGGUGCCCACCCAGUAUGUGGGUGCCAUUAUUGGCAAGGAGGGGGCCACCAUCCGCAACAUCACAAAACAG